CACGUAGGGUGCGAGCGUUGUCCGGAAUUAUUGGGCGUAAAGAGCUCGUAGGCGGUGUGUCGCGUCGGCCGUGAAAACCUGCAGCUUAACUGUGGGCUUGCGGUCGAUACGGGCAUCACUGGAGUUCGGCAGGGGAGACUGGAAUUCCUGGUGUAGCGGUGAAAUGCGCAGAUAUCAGGAGGAACACCGGUGGCGAAGGCAGCUCGCUGGGACGUUACUGACGCUGAGACGCGAAAGCGUGGGGAGCAAACAGG
rnacentral:rRNA from 1 species